rnacentral:rRNA from 1 species
UACGUAGGGGGCAAGCGUUGUCCGGAUUUAUUGGGCGUAAAGAGCGUGUAGGCGGCCAGGUAGGUCUGCUGUGAAAACUCGAGGCUUAACCUCGAGCUGUCGGCGGAAACCAUCUGGCUAGAGUCCGGAAGAGGAGAGUGGAAUUCCUGGUGUAGCGGUGAAAUGCGCAGAUAUCAGGAAGAACACCAAUGGCGAAAGCGCUCUGCUAGGCCGCAACUGACACUCAUGGACGAAAGCUAGGGGAGCGAAUGGG